rnacentral:rRNA from 1 species
AUACGUAGGUGACAAGCGUUAUCCGGAUUUACUGGGCGUAAAGGGCGUGUAGGCGGUCUUGCAAGUCAGAAGUGAAAUUCCUGAGCUCAACUCGGGCGCUGCUUCUGAAACUGCAGGACUUGAGUGCUGGAGGGGAUAGCGGAAUUCCUAGUGGAGCGGUAAAAUGCGCAGAUAUUAAGAAGAACACCGGUGGCGAAGGCGGCUAUCUGGACAGUAACUGACGCUGAGGCGCGAAAGCGUGGGGAGCAAACAGGAUUAGAUACUCUGGUAGUCCACGCCGUAAACGAUGAAUACUAGGUGUAGGGGGUAUCGACUCCCUCUGUGCCGCAGUUAACACAAUAAGUAUUCCGCCUGGGGAGUACGGCCGCAAGGUUGAAACUCAAAUGAAUUGACGGGG